ACGGAAGGCAGCAGUGGGGAAUAUUGCACAAUGGGGGAAACCCUGAUGCAGCGACGCCGCGUGAAGGAAGAAGUAUCUCGGUAUGUAAACUUCUAUCAGCAGGGAAGAAAAUGACGGUACCUGACUAAGAAGCCCCGGCUAACUACGUGCCAGCAGCCGCGGUAAUACGUAGGGGGCAAGCGUUAUCCGGAUUUACUGGGUGUAAAGGGAGCGUAGACGGAAUUGCAAGUCUGAUGUGAAAGGCAUGGGCUCAACCUGUGGACUGCAUUGGAAACUGUGAUUCUUGAGUGCCGGGGGGGUAAGCGGAAUUCCUGGUGUAGCGGUGAAAUGCGUAGAUAUCAGGAGGAACACCGGUGGCGAAGGCGGCUUACUGGACGGCAACUGACGUUGAGGCUCGAAGGCGUGGGGAGCAAACAGGAUUAGAUACCCUGGUA
rnacentral:rRNA from 1 species